AGAGGGUGAACCUGCGGAAGGAUCAUUACC
rnacentral:rRNA from 1 species